GCAAUUAUCUGUAAGGAAGGGGUUUUCUGCUGCAGAGAAGAAAAAAAUUCAUGCAGUAAGAAGUUGCCCACUCUGUUCAAAUGAAGCUGUCUGAAGUACCCAGUAGACAAUGUAUUAUUUCUGGAACAACUUAAUUGAAGUGAAGCUUACUAUGUGAAGGAGUUAUUUCUGUAUUCAAAGGAAACUUCAGCAUACAGAAUACCAAUUGAGAUAUUUGUAACUGGAAUCCCUUCAGACGUUGACAUAGCUAAAUUCCACAGUUUCAACUAUAAAUGGACAUUGAAUAAUUAUACAUUGGUUUUAUUUUAUACAUGUAUCUGUUAAUAUUUUUGUUUUCAAAUAAUUCCCAAUAUUGUUAAUUUUGGAUAAUAUAUGUAUAACUUUGCCACAAUGUUGGUAAAUGGAGGCUAUUUUACUGUGACUGAAAGUAGUUCAGAUAUGACGCCUUAUGAUGUCCGAGGUUUAUAGCCCAUCAUACAAGCCAAAGAGAGCAGAUUUUUUUUCUGUGUAGAUUCAUUAAUUUUCAAUGUUCAUAAUUGAAAGUGAUUCUGUCAUAUUUCCUGAAUUUGUUUAAUUUCCUUCCUGAUUUGCAAAUAUUAAUUAUCUACUCUUUAUUUAUCACAUUUUUCUGAGAAAUAAAUGUAUUUCCCACAAAA